rnacentral:rRNA from 1 species
CGCAUCUGUGCAUGCAGCAUAUCAAUAAGCGGAGGAAAAGAAACUAACAAGGAUUCCCCUAGUAACGGCGAGUGAAGCGGGAAGAGCUCAAAUUUGAAAUCUUAAAGGGUUUCCCUUUACGAAUUGUAGUUUAAAAGAAGUGUUUUCUGUUGAGGUUUUGGUAAAAGUUCUUUGGAAUAGGACAUCAUAGAGGGUGAGAAUCCCGUAUUUGACCUUUACUUUCAACUUUGUGAUACACUUUCAAAGAGUCGGAUUGUUUGGGAAUGCAGUCCAAAAUGGGUGGUAAAUUUCAUCUAAAGCUAAAUAUUGGCGAGAGACCGAUAGCGAACAAGUACCGUGAGGGAAAGAUGAAAGAACUUUGAAAAGAGAGUUAAACAGUACGUGAAAUUGUCAAAAGGGAAGCGUUUGACACCAGUGUUGUUUUUCUGAAAAUCAAUUAAAGAACUGUUUAUGCUAAGCUGUUUAGACUUUAUCAGCUAACUGUUUAGUUUUGAGCUUUUCUUUAAUGCACUUUUCAGUUAACAAGUCAACAUCAAUUUCUUUUGCUGUAAAAAAGCUUGAGGAAGGUGGCUUGAGAUUCGUCUUAAGUGUUUAUAGCCUCUUGCCUAUGCAGUCGGAGAGAUUGAGGUCUGCAGCGUAGAUCCUUCGGGGCUAAAUGCAUUUGUGCUAAGUUAUAGCAUUUUAUAGACAACUUGUUGACUAUGAUUUGUCUUGUAGCUUACUCGCUUAUGUUAUUUUACCUACGCUUAGGAUGUUGAGUCAUCACACAUCUCU